ACACCUUGUCCCAAUCGCAUUAGUGCAUUUGAGAAGGCUGUUAGGGGUUUUGCUGACCACCCAACUGAGAAUGUGAUCAUCCCGGCUAUUGGAAGUACUACAUUUGACUCAGUUGGUGAGGCGUACGAUUUCUACAACUUGUACUCGUGGGAGAAAGGCUUCGGUAUUCGAUACGGCAAGAGCCGCCUGAAUGUGGAGAGGAUAAAGUGCAUGCAAGAAAUAGUUUGUGGGUGCUCGGUGAGUUCAAGCUCUUGGUUGCUGGUACUCCUUAAAGAUUUCUGUCAUGCUUGA
rnacentral:rRNA from 1 species